UGCCGUGAUCGUGGUCUGCAGC
rnacentral:siRNA from 1 species